UGCCACCUACGGGAGGCAGCAGUGAGGAAUAUUGGUCAAUGGGCUUACGCCUGAACCAGCCACGUCGCGUGAGGGAAGACUGCCCUAUGGGUUGUAAACCUCUUUUGUCAGGGAGCAAAGGCGUCCACGUGUGGACGAGAGGAGAGUACCUGAAGAAAAAGCAUCGGCUAACUCCGUGCCAGCAGCCGCGGUAAUACGGAGGAUGCGAGCGUUAUCCGGAUUUAUUGGGUUUAAAGGGUGCGUAGGCGGAGUGUCAAGUCAGCGGUAAAAUUUCGGGGCUCAACCCCGUCGUGCCGUUGAAACUG
rnacentral:rRNA from 1 species